rnacentral:rRNA from 1 species
CAGUAGCCACGGUAAUACGUAGGGUGCAAGCGUUAAUCGGAAUUACUGGGCGUAAAGGGUGCGUAGGCGGGUCUUUAAGUCAGGGGUGAAAUCCUGGAGCUCAACUCCAGAACUGCCUUUGAUACUGAAGAUCUUGAGUUCGGGAGAGGUGAGUGGAACUGCGAGUGUAGAGGUGAAAUUCGUAGAUAUUCGCAAGAACACCAGUGGCGAAGGCGGCUCACUGGCCCGAUACUGACGCUGAGGCACGAAAGCGUGGGGAGCAAACAGGAUUAGAUACCCCGGUAGUCCCUGUCUCUUAUAC